rnacentral:rRNA from 1 species
AAAUAAGUGAAUAAGGGCUUUCGGUGGAUGCCUAGGCGUUUGCUGGCGAUGAAAGACGUGGAAGGCUGCGAUAAGCUACGGGGAGUUGCCAAACGAACCUUGAUCCGUAGAUGUCUGAAUGGGGAAACCCGGCAGGUAGAGAUACCUGUCAGCGUGUGCUGAAUACAUAGGCACUACGCGGCGAACCCGGGGAACUGAAACAUCUCAGUACCCGGAGGAGAAGAAAUCAAUUGAGAUUCCCUGAGUAGCGGCGAGCGAACGGGGAAUAGCCCAAACCUCAGGAGUGUCAAGGACACAUCCGUUGCUUCUGGGGUGUUGUGGGGUCUUACUUCUACAGUAUGUGUGCUGUGGCAGGGAGUGUUGUUUAUUAGCUGAAUCAUCUGGAAAGUUGAGCCAUAGCGGGUAAUAGCCCCGUAAGUGAAAAUAAGCAUGCACCUGUGUGAGAUACCCGAGUACGGCGGGACACGUGGAACCCUGUCGGAAUCUGGGAGGACCAUCUUCCAAGGCUAAAUACACGCAAACGACCGAUAGUGAACAAGUACCGUGAGGGAAAGGUGAAAAGUACCCCUUUGAGGGGAGUGAAAUAGACCCUGAAACCGAGAGCCUACAAGCAGUGGGAGCCCUAUGCCGCAAGGCAGGGUGACUGCGUGCCUUUUGCAUAAUGAGUCAGCGAGUUAAGUUACGCAGCAAGGUUAAGCCGAGAAGGCGAAGCCGCAGGGAAACCGAGUCUGAAUAGGGCGUAUAGUUGUGUGAUUUAGACCCGAAACCGAGUGAGCUACCCAUGGCCAGGUUGAAGUUCCGGUAAUGCGGAAUGGAGGACCGAACCCACCAUUGUUGAAAAAAUGGGGGAUGAGCUGUGGGUAGGGGUGAAAGGCCAAUCAAACUCGGAGAUAGCUGGUUCUCCCCGAAAUAUAUUUAGGUAUAGCCUCGGGAGAUUUACCUGCGGAGGUAGAGCACUGAAUGGGCUAGGGGUCUCACCGGAUUACCAAACCCAAUCAAACUCCGAAUGCCGUAGAGUAUUAUCCCGGGAGUCAGACUACGGGUGAUAACAUCCGUGGUCGAGAGGGCAACAACCCAGACCGCCGGCUAAGGUCCCUAAUUUAUGGUUAAGUGGCAAAGGAUGUGGAAGCACACAGACAACUAGGAGGUUGGCUUAGAAGCAGCCACCCUUGAAAGAAAGCGUAAUAGCUCACUAGUCGAGUGAAUCCGCGCCGAAAAUAUAACGGGGCUCAAACCAUAAACCGAAGCCGCGGACUGUAAUUUAUUUACAGUGGUAGGGGAGCAUUCUAGUCGCCUGCGAAGGGAUACCGUGAGGAGUCCUGGAGGUUCUAGAAGCGCAUAUGCUGACGUGAGUAACGAUCAAACGGGUGAGAAACCCGUUCGCCGAAUACCCAAGGUUUCCUGGGCCAGGGUCAUCCUCCCAGGGUUAGUCGGGUCCUAAGACGAGGCCGAACGGCGUAGUCGAUGGCAAACAGGUUAAUAUUCCUGUACCUCCUUGUAAGGUGUUUGAUGGUAAGAGAGGACGGAGAACGUUAGGUCCGCCGGAUAUUGGAUUUCCGGUGCAACCCCGUAGGAAGGUGAUGUAGGAGGGUUCGUCCCACAAACGCAUCGCUAGUUCCGAGAGGGGAAGCAGAGUGGGUCGCUUUUAGACCCGCACGUCAAUGGAUCGAUACGCCGCUUCCGAGAAAAGUCUCGUACCGUAGUCUAUAAGGAGCCCGUACCGCAAACCGACACAGGUGGGUGGGAAGAGAAUUCUAAGGCGCUUGAGAGAACCCUGGUUAAGGAACUCGGCAAAUUGACACCGUAACUUCGGGAGAAGGUGUGCCCCUAUUAGGUGAUACGUCCACGCGGCGUUGAGCCGAACAGGGUUGCAGAGAGCAGGGGGUAGCGACUGUUUAUCAAAAACACAGGACUCUGCGAAAUCGUUAAGAUGACGUAUAGGGUCUGACGCCUGCCCGGUGCCGGAAGGUUAAGAGGAGAGGUUAGUGGGUAACUGCGAAGCUUCGAAUUGAAGCCCCGGUAAACGGCGGCCGUAACUAUAACGGUCCUAAGGUAGCGAAAUUCCUUGGCGGGUAAGUUCCGUCCUGCACGAAUGGCGUAACGACUUCCCCACUGUCUCAACCAGGGACUCAGUGAAAUCGAAUUGGCGGUGAAGAUGCCGUCUACCUGCGGCAAGACGGAAAGACCCCGUGAACCUUUACUGUAGCUUGGCAGUGAUAUUCGGGCAUAUCUGUGUAGGAUAGGUGGGAGGCUUUGAAGCCGGUACGCCAGUAUCGGUGGAGCCAACCUUGAAAUACCACCCUGAUAUGUCUGGAUAUCUAACCUGCGUCCGUGAUCCGGACGAGGGACACUGCCUGGUGGGCAGUUUGACUGGGGCGGUCGCCUCCCAAAGAGUAACGGAGGCGCGCAAAGGUUCGCUCAGGCUGAUUGGAAACCAGCCGAAGAGUGCAAAAGCAUAAGCGAGCUUGACUGCGAGACCUACAAGUCGAGCAGGUGCGAAAGCAGGCUUUAGUGAUCCGGUGGUUCCGAAUGGAAGGGCCAUCGCUCAACGGAUAAAAGGUACUCCGGGGAUAACAGGCUGAUCUCCCCCAAGAGUUCACAUCGACGGGGAGGUUUGGCACCUCGAUGUCGGCUCAUCGCAUCCUGGGGCUGGAGUAGGUCCCAAGGGUUUGGCUGUUCGCCAAUUAAAGCGGUACGCGAGCUGGGUUCAGAACGUCGUGAGACAGUUCGGUCCCUAUCUGCCGUGGGCGUUAGAGAGUUGAGAGGAACUGCCCUUAGUACGAGAGGACCGGGGUGGACGUAUCUCUAGUGUACCGGUUGUUUCGCCAGAAGCAUUGCCGGGUAGCUACAUACGGACAGGAUAACCGCUGAAAGCAUCUAAGCGGGAAGCCCCCCUCAAGAUGAACUCUCUCUUUGUUUAAACAACUAGAAGGUCCGUCGAAGACGACGACGUGGAUAGGUAGCAAGUGGACGCAUGGCAACAUGUGGAGCUGAGCUAUACUAAUCGACCGAGAGGCUUAUUUU